rnacentral:rRNA from 1 species
CACUGCCGAGAAAAGCCUCUAGAUAGAAAAUAGGUGCCCGUACCGCAAACCGACACAGGUAGUCAAGAUGAGAAUUCUAAGGUGAGCGAGCGAACUCUCGUUAAGGAACUCGGCAAAAUGACCCCGUAACUUCGGGAGAAGGGGUGCUCUUUAGGGUUAACGCCCAGAAGAGCCGCAGUGAAUAGGCCCAAGCGACUGUUUAUCAAAAACACAGGUCUCUGCUAAACCGUAAGGUGAUGUAUAGGGGCUGACGCCUGCCCGGUGCUGGAAGGUUAAGAGGAGUGGUUAGCUUCUGCGAAGCUACGAAUCGAAGCCCCAGUAAACGGCGGCCGUAACUAUAACGGUCCUAAGGUAGCGAAAUUCCUUGUCGGGUAAGUUCCGACCCGCACGAAAGGCGUAACGAUUUGGGCACUGUCUCAACGAGAGACUCGGUGAAAUCAUAGUACCUGUGAAGAUGCAGGUUACCCGCGACAGGACGGAAAGACCCCGUGGAGCUUUACUGUAGCCUGAUAUUGAAAUUCGGCACAGCUUGUACAGGAUAGGUAGGAGCCUUUGAAACGUGAGCGCUAGCUUACGUGGAGGCGCUGGUGGGAUACUACCCUAGCUGUGUUGGCUUUCUAACCCGCACCACUUAUCGUGGUGGGAGACAGUGUCAGGCGGGCAGUUUGACUGGGGCGGUCGCCUCCUAAAAGGUAACGGAGGCGCUCAAAGGUUCCCUCAGAAUGGUUGGAAAUCAUUCAUAGAGUGUAAAGGCAUAAGGGAGCUUGACUGCGAGACCUACAAGUCGAGCAGGGUCGAAAGACGGACUUAGUGAUCCGGUGGUUCCGCAUGGAAGGGCCAUCGCUCAACGGAUAAAAGCUACCCCGGGGAUAACAGGCUUAUCUCCCCCAAGAGUUCACAUCGACGGGGAGGUUUGGCACCUCGAUGUCGGCUCAUCGCAUCCUGGGGCUGUAGUCGGUCCCAAGGGUUGGGCUGUUCGCCCAUUAAAGCGGUACGCGAGCUGGGUUCAGAACGUCGUGAGACAGUUCGGUCCCUAUCCGUCGUGGGCGUAGGAAAUUUGAGAGGAGCUGUCCUUAGUACGAGAGGACCGGGAUGGACAUACCUCUGGUGUACCAGUUGUCGUGCCAACGGCAUAGCUGGGUAGCUAUGUGUGGACGGGAUAAGUGCUGAAAGCAUCUAAGCAUGAAGCCCCCCUCAAGAUGAGAUUUCCCAACUUCGGUUAUAAGAUCCCUCAAAGAUGAUGAGGUUAAUAGGUUCGAGGUGGAAGCAUGGUGACAUGUG